rnacentral:rRNA from 1 species
GAUGAACGCUGGCGGCGUGCCUAAUACAUGCAAGUCGAGCGAACGAACGAGAAGCUUGCUUUUCUGAUGUUAGCGGCGGACGGGUGAGUAACACGUGGAUAACCUACCUAUAAGACUGGGAUAACUUCGGGAAACCGGAGCUAAUACCGGAUAAUAUUUUGAACCGCAUGGUUCAAAAGUGAAAGACGGUCUUGCUGUCACUUAUAGAUGGAUCCGCGCUGCAUUAGCUAGUUGGUAAGGUAACGGCUUACCAAGGCAACGAUGCAUAGCCGACCUGAGAGGGUGAUCGGCCACACUGGAACUGAGACACGGUCCAGACUCCUACGGGAGGCAGCAGUAGGGAAUCUUCCGCAAAGGGCGAAAGCCUGACGGAGCAACGCCGCGUGAGUGAUGAAGGUCUUCGGAUCGUAAAACUCUGUUAUUAGGGAAGAACAUAUGUGUAAGUAACUGUGCACAUCUUGACGGUACCUAAUCAGAAAGCCACGGCUAACUACGUG